rnacentral:rRNA from 1 species
UACGGAGGUCGCAAGCGUUGUUCGGAAUUACUGGGCGUAAAGCGCGUGUAGGCGGCCAGGUAAGUCGGAUGUGAAAGCCCGGGGCCCAACCCCGGAACUGCACCCGAUACUGCCCGGCUGGAGUCCCGGAGAGGAUGGCGGAAUUUCCGGUGUAGAGGUGAAAUUCGUAGAUAUCGGAAGGAACACAAGUGGCGAAGGCGGCCAUCUGGACGGUGACUGACGCUGAGACGCGAAAGCGUGGGGAGCAAACAGG